rnacentral:lncRNA from 1 species
CUCUCUAUGAACACUGGCACAGUCAUUUGAUAUAAUUUGAAGGUUUACAAAGGCAGUGCUCUGAAGACAAGUCAGAAGGACAAGACUUAUUUGCAUAUGAUUUGUUGCACAUUUUACUUGUGGGUAAUCAGGCUACCGGGAUAACAGCUACUGAACUGCACCCUUUGUACUAUAUUUCACCUACAGGAGAACUGACCAUCCAAAAAUCGAAUGGUAUUUUUGAGAGUGUUGUGCAAUCUCUUCCCUCAAAUUGCAUGUAGCAGUAUCAAAUGAGGCUUCCCAAUGCUCCUGCUGAAGGUAUUCAAGCUGUCAGCACUUAUGUCAUUCUGUGAAUCUUUCCCAAAUCAAUGAUCUCCUUUUGGAGAUGUGAGGACAAGGAUUUGUGUCAUUCAAAAAGCAGUUCAGCUCCCCCAACAUCUCUGGGUUGGAAAGCAUGUGGGAGAGAAGAGAAUGAGAAUGGUCAUGACUGACUGAAGAGUCCUUUUUCCCUUAUCAGUGUGGAGCCUAGGUUUAUUGCUCCAUGCAUUUUUAACGCAAUAGACUGACUCCAAUGCACAGGCAGCUUUGAACUUCGAAGCAAGAGCUUCCUCACCUUUUCUACCCCAUAAAUCUCAGGAAUGAAACCUGUACAGAUAUUUUUGCUGUUGGCUAAAGUUUUGGUAUGAUCUCCAAACAGAAACAGCUCAUUAAGGCGUGCAUACUGCUCUGUCUACUGAAACUGCCUUCCAACCCAACAUACAAUGGAAGUAAUUUCCAAAGAGUUACCAAUGAGCUGUCAGGAGGUGGCAGGCAACUGAUCUGAUUCCAUGCAAUUUCUUUUUUACCUGUUUGUGAAUAUUAAACAAGUCUUUAUCCAUUUAAUAACAAUUUAAGAAUACUUGUUGACUUUGUAUCACCCUUAAUAAAUAAAAAAUAAACAAACACUUAUAGUGAGGGAUUUAUUAGUGCUUACAAUUUUUUUUUUUUUACCAUAAUUAAAAGUUGUUCAUAGCUCCAAAUAAUUUUUUGUCAUCACAAGCCCAGUAAUAAAAAUUAUUUUAUUGUAAGUCAUUA